CGUACACUCCUACGGGAGGCAGCAGUGGGGAAUAUUGGACAAUGGGCGCAAGCCUGAUCCAGCCAUGCCGCGUGAGUGAUGAAGGCCCUAGGGUUGUAAAGCUCUUUCACCGGUGAAGAUAAUGACGGUAACCGGAGAAGAAGCCCCGGCUAACUUCGUGCCAGCAGCCGCGGUAAUACGAAGGGGGCUAGCGUUGUUCGGAUUUACUGGGCGUAAAGCGCACGUAGGCGGACUAUUAAGUCAGGGGUGAAAUCCCGGGGCUCAACCCCGGAACUGCCUUUGAUACUGGUAGUCUUGAGUUCGAGGGAGGUGAGUGGAAUUCCGAGUGUAGAGGUGAAAUUCGUAGAUAUUCGGAGGAACACCAGUGGCGAAGGCGGCUCACUGGCUCGAUACUGACGCUGAGGUGCGAAAGCGUGGGGAGCAAACAGGAUUAGAUACCCCAGUAGUCCCA
rnacentral:rRNA from 1 species